UUUUCCAGGCAAAUCCGGAAAAUCAAGGCUGAGGCGUGAUGACGAGGCACUACGGUGCUGAAGCAACAAAUGCCCUGCUUCCAGGAAAAGCCUCUAAGCAUCAGGUAACAUCAAAUCGUACCCCAAACCGACACAGGUGGUCAGGUAGAGAAUACCAAGGCGCUUGAGAGAACUCGGGUGAAGGAACUAGGCAAAAUGGUGCCGUAACUUCGGGAGAAGGCACGCUGAUAUGUAGGUGAAGUCCCUCGCGGAUGGAGCUGAAAUCAGUCGAAGAUACCAGCUGGCUGCAACUGUUUAUUAAAAACACAGCACUGUGCAAACACGAAAGUGGACGUAUACGGUGUGACGCCUGCCCGGUGC
rnacentral:rRNA from 1 species